rnacentral:rRNA from 1 species
UGGGGAAUAUUGGACAAUGGGCGCAAGCCUGAUCCAGCCAUGCCGCGUGGGUGAAGAAGGCCUUAGGGUUGUAAACCCCUUUCAGCGGGGAAGAUAAUGACGGUACCCGCAGAAGAAGUCCCGGCUAACUCCGUGCCAGCAGCCGCGGUAAUACGGAGGGGACUAGCGUUGUUCGGAAUUACUGGGCGUAAAGCGCACGUAGGCGGAUUUGUAAGUCAGGGGUGAAAUCCCGGGGCUCAACCUCGGAACUGCCUUUGAUACUGCAAAUCUCGAGUCCGGAAGAGGUGAGUGGAAUUCCUAGUGUAGAGGUGAAAUUCGUAGAUAUUAGGAAGAACACCAGUGGCGAAGGCGGCUCACUGGUCCGGUACUGACGCUGAGGUGCGAAAGCGUGGGGAGCAAACAG